AUGCCCCGCGGUCUCCUGCUCGUCGGCGUCGUCCUGGCGGCACAGCUCUGUGCGUGCACUGCGCAACCGUACGUUGGCAGCCGCGGCGCCGACGGGUUUAGCGUGGAGUUCAUGCACCGGGACUCCGUCGGAUCAUCGUUCCACGACCCAUCGCUCACCCCCUGGCCGCGUGCUGGUGGCCGUGCGGCGGUCGACGGCUCGCGCCCGCGCCAUCGACGACGGCACCGUGUCCGAGGCCGUCCACAGGUCGUUCGAGUACCUGAUGGCCGUGGGCAUCGGCACUCCACCCACACGGAUGCUCGCCAUCGCCGACACCGGCAGCGACCUCGCCUGGUUCAACUGCAGGAACGGCACCGGCGCCGCCCCUGUCCGUCCUCCGAGCGUCGUCGUGUUCGACCCAGACAACUCGACGACGUUCGGCCUCGUGGGCUGCAAGUCCCGCGCAUGCCGCGCGAUCCCCGACGGCAUCCCCUGUACCCUCGCCUCCAACUGCAAGUACAUCUACUCCUACGGCGACGGCUCCAGGACGAGCGGCCUCAUCUCCACCGAGACCUUCACCUUCGCCCACGUCCCCGGCACCGCCCGCGGCCAUCGGGGUCGGAGGAAGCGCGUGGCCACCGUGAACUUCGGCUGCUCCACGGCCACGGCCGGCACGUUCCAAGCGGACGGCGUCGUGGGCCUCGGAGGCGGCGCCCUCUCCCUCGUCACGCAGCUCGGCGCCCACAAAUCGCUCGGCGAUCGGAGGUUCUCCUACUGCCUGGUGCCCUACUCCGUGAACGCCUCCUCCGCGCUCAACUUCGGCGCCCUCGCCACAGUGAAGGACCCAGGCGCGGUGACGACGCCGCUGAUCCCAUCCCUAGUGGACACGUACUACACCGUCGACCUCCAAUCCGUAAAGAUCGGGAACGCGACCUUCGCGGCGCCGCACGGGCACCACCACGUCAUCGUCGACUCCGGCACCACGCUGACGUUCCUCGCCAAGGCGCUGCUGGACCCAAUGGUAAAGGAGCUGAGCCGGCGGAUCAAGCUCCCCCGGGCGCCGUCACCUGA
rnacentral:rRNA from 1 species